CUGGAGUUGGUGCCCUUUAACACUGAGCUAUAUUAACAGACAGGCUCUGAGACUCUAAUGCCCUCAAUAUGCAGUUUCGGUUUCUAGGGAAGAGUCCUGAGAGUCCCAAGGAGCCAUUUGGGAUCUGCCGGAGCAAGAACAACGGGUAAUUCCUGAUCGCUAGUUAUCUGUGGUUGAGGGGCUAGUUGUUGCCUGGUGACUCACUGUGGUGGCCCUUUACUGUCCAGCUGAUGCCCGUGGCAACAUGCCACGUGCUACCGGCACGGGGAGCGGCUGCAGCUCCAGGAUGAGUGAGUCUGUGCUAGAUUUGGGUGUGGGGGGGCGGGUGGCGGCGUGGGGGGGUGGUGUUCGGGGGACAGACUGCACAGAACCCUUCUCUCUCCCUCACUUCCCAUUCUCUUUCUACUUCAUUAGCGUGAAGAGCUAAAAGCGAUUCCAAGGAAAUGUAGCAGAAGUGUCAGUCCAGCUGCACUCAUGUCCUGGCAAAAGGGACAGACCGAGCCGGCUGCUUCCCCAUGUGCUCUGGUGCUGGUCUCCCACCGGGACACAGAGCAGGGCCGGGGCUCCAAGCACUGCUUUAGGGUCUCCCAGAAGUGCAAGGAAGCCUCACGCGAUGCCUGAUUCAGAAGUAGGCUGCUACCAGGCAGCUUUGUGCAUUUGGUGGCUUCCUUGGAAACUCAUCAAACGCUUGGCACAAACGCGUCCCUCCUCCAGUGACAGGAGCUCACACUUCGGCAAGCAUCAAACUGCUCUGAAAUGUGAUAACGGCGUCUGUCAAUUUCUGCACACAGAGUGCUGUUUUCUGCAGCGGGACUGUUUGUCUUGGCCUUCUGGAGCUGUAGGAGCUUUCAGACCCCCUACUCCUUGGAGCAAGGUGCUGCUGCAAUGGGGUGAGCGCGGAGCAAACAUUGAAAGGCUUUGAGCUGGGUAAGGGCAGGUUCAGGAGGCAGGUCUGCCUGCAGGGUGGAGGGAAGCUGGAUGGAGCAGACACCCCAGAGGCUGUCCAGUGGUCCAGGUGGACAAGGAAGGGGGUGGUGGGGAUGGAGACCACAGGAAGAUCCAGGGCUUGGGCAGGGUGUGUAGGACUUAGGAUGUUCUGUUCCCCUCUGUCCUUAGCCCUGAUACAACAAUAUGCUUAAGCCGUCUUCUCCCCUUCUAGGAGCUCAGUGGACCCUCAGAGCUCAUGGAGGACCUGACAAGGGUUCUCUUAGAAAGGGGCUAAUGGAAAUGUCCUUUAGGAAAGGUGAGGAUUCUUCCUGCUGGAUGCCAUGAAGAUUAAGGAUGACGGAG
ensembl:lncRNA